rnacentral:lncRNA from 1 species
CGACCGCUUCCGACUGCGGCGGAUCCAGGCUGGGGCCAGCGCGGCGUCCCCGCCAGACAACCGCUGCCUGCCUAUUGGGCUCGGCUCAGGUGGUUUUAUCUGUUUCUAAUGUAUUCUGGGUACGGAGGCGUCCUGAUCAGAAUCUUAGAGAAAGGCGAGGGAAGGAAAUGCACUCCCUGCUCCACCCCUUUGCAGACCUCAAUAAUAGGACAGAAAUGUGGACAAGGUCAAGGCAGAUCCAGUAACACUGACAUCCAUGCUUGGGGGAUUUCACUUGGUUCUGAAGAGAAUGCCCCAGGGCCUUGGAGCCCAGUCCCCGGAGCAGAAGACUGAAGCACAUAGGAAAAUGGAAGACAGAAGAGAGGAACGGACAGGGCAGAGUUAGCGCUCCCACCGAGUGACUCCAAAGGAUUCCUAGAAAAGAUGCAGCUUUCAAAGGCGACUGCAGUGAGGAGUAUCUGUGAACAAUUUCAAGAAUCACUUCUGAAGAAAUACCAGUACAGAAAUUAUUAUGAUUUGCAAUCACACCUGUGUGUACUGAACAACAUGACCUGUGAAAUCCUGCAGUAUAUUAUAGAAGAAGCACAUAAGGAGUGAUAUGGCACAUUCUCAAUUGAGGAUAACUUAUGAAAAACAUUUUAUCCAUUGGACACCUCUUCUUUUUUUUUUGAUAAUUUUCAUACAGUCUUAAUCUAGGUUAUCCAUUUCAGUCAUGUAGUUUGAGAGCAUAAAUAUAGCAAUCACAAAACCAAAAGUAUGUUCAAUACUUUGAAAUUAUUAUUGCUAAUUUUCUUGAUCAUUUUCUAAAUAAUGGAUAAUUAAAUAUUUUCAAGUAUCCACUAUACUUUGUACAAAACUGUACAAAAACAGUGAAAUAUAAUCCUUUGCAUAUACACUCACAUAUACACACUCAUAUUUAUAAAUAUCAAAUGGCAAUGAAUGAUGAAAUAUAAAAACACAAGGACAAAGUCCAUUCCUUUGAUAAAAUAGUAUUUCCAAUUUUACAAUGUAUUCCAGCUACCUGUGGUCAUGUACACCUGUAAUCCCAGUACUCAGAAGGCUGAGGCAGGAAGCUCACCAUGAGUUCAAGGGGAGCAUGGGCUACAUAGUGAGUUCAAGGCCAGCCUGAACUACAUAACAAGACCCUACCUUAAAAACAUAUUCAAAUCAAAUCAAAUGCAUUCCAUAGUGGUUUUACUAAUAUACAUUUCCACCUACAGUGUAGCAGGGUUCUUUUGUCCCCACAGCUUUGCCAGUACCAACUAUUUGUUAUUGAUUGUUUGAUGAUAGCCGUUCUUUCAGGAGUGAAAUGAAAUCUCAGUGUUGUCAUUUGCAUUUCUCUAAUGAUCAGUGAUGUUGAACAUUUAUGCGUUUUAUUGGCCAUUUAUGCUUCAUGUAAGAAGUGUCUAUUCAUUUCAGAUGUCCAUCUUUUGAUUGGGUCUUUUAUUUUGGGGGCUCUAAUUUUUUUGAGUUCUUUAUAUGUUAUAAAUGGAGAACUAAAAAAAAAAAAACUAAAGUAGAAAUUCCAUCUGAUCCAGCUAUGUGUCUUCUCACAAGAGUGAAAGAUGUCAUAUUGCAGUGAUAUGCAUUAAUAUGUUUAUAGCAGCACAAAUUAUAAUAGCUAAAUCUUGAAUGUUAUAUGUUCAUGAACAGAUGAAUGGUUAAAAACGAUGUGAUAUUUAUAUACAUAAUGAAGUAAUUUUCUGCCAUGAAGAAGGAUAAAACUUGAGUAAUUUGUAGGAAAAUGGAUGCACUUUGAGACCAUAAUGUUAACCAAAAUGAAUCAGACACACAAGCUUAGAUAUUGCAUGAUUUCUCUUAUAUGUGAACCCCAAAAUUCAAAUAAAGAACAAAAGAAUAAAUAGA